UACAGAGACUGCAAGCGUUAUUCGGAUUCACUGGGCGUAAAGGGUGCGCAGGCGGCCAAGUGUGUGAGGCGUGAAAGCCUGGGGCUUAACUCCAGAAUUGCACCUCAAACUACAUGGCUAGAGCAUUGGAGAGGGUAGCAGAAUUCACGGUGUAGCAGUGAAAUGCGUAGAUAUCGUGAGGAAUACCAGAGGCGAAGGCGGCUACCUGGACAAUUGCUGACGCUCAGGCACGAAAGCGUGGAGAGCAAAAGGG
rnacentral:rRNA from 1 species